UACGAAGGGGGCGAGCGUUGUUCGGAUUUACUGGGCGUAAAGCGUGCGUAGACGGUUAUUUAAGUCGGGUGUGAAAGCCCCAGGCUCAACCUGGGAAUUGCAUUCGAGACUGAAUAGCUAGGGUACGGUAGAGGGAAGCGGAAUUUCCGGUGUAGCGGUGAAAUGCGUAGAUAUCGGAAGGAACAUCAGUGGCGAAAGCGGCUUCCUGGUCCAGUACCGACGUUCAGGCACGAAAGCGUGGGGAGCAAACAGG
rnacentral:rRNA from 1 species